UCACGAGAAGGCGCCACAGGGCAAAGGGCGGGGCCCACCAUCUGCUUCUGGGCUGCACUUUGUAGCUCCAGGGGAAUCGCUUUCCUCUAAGUCUUUGAGUCUCCAGUACCAAGUCCGGUGAACAAGGAGCACAGGCCUCCCUCCCAAGGAGGAGGACAACUCAUGAGCUAACCAAGACCCACAGGAGGCUCCAGUCUCAGAAGAUGUUGGGUGCCAGUUGUCAAAAGAACAUCUUCUCUCCACCCCUCUUCCAGUUGAGCCCUGUAGCCCAGAUUUCUUCCUGGCUGAGUUGGAAGGAUCCAAAUAUGGAAAGGCUCAUCACAGGCCAGCAAUAUCCAUUGAUCUACCACUUUUCAAGUGUGUAAUGCAGAGGAGUCUCCUUCCAAGAUGAAAGAGUUUAGGAGAUGAGAGAAUGCUUGCAGAAGUGAUGGAGAAUUAAUGUCAUGGAGAGAUAAUUUGUAAUCAAUGUUGCAAAGUCCCGUGAAAAAGAAAAAGGGAUACAUCUUGUAAUACAAAUAAACAACAAGAAGAUAUCUAGGGGUGAAUCUGACUAGACCAA